rnacentral:rRNA from 1 species
AGUGAACGCUGGCGGUAGGCCUAACACAUGCAAGUCGAACGGCAGCACAGUAAGAGCUUGCUCUUACGGGUGGCGAGUGGCGGACGGGUGAGGAAUACAUCGGAAUCUACUUUUUCGUGGGGGAUAACGUAGGGAAACUUACGCUAAUACCGCAUACGACCUACGGGUGAAAGCAGGGGAUCUUCGGACCUUGAGCGAUUGAAUGAGCCGAUGUCGGAUUAGCUAGUUGGCGGGGUAAAGGCCCACCAAGGCGACGAUCCGUAGCUGGUCUGAGAGGAUGAUCAGCCACACUGGAACUGAGACACGGUCCAGACUCCUACGGGAGGCAGCAGUGGGGAAUAUUGGACAAUGGGCGCAAGCCUGGUCCAGCCAUACCGCGUGGGUGAAGAAGGCCUUCGGGUUGUAAAGCCCUUUUGUUGGGAAAGAAAAGCAGCAGGUUAAUACCCCGCUGUUCUGACGGUACCCAAAGAAUAAGCACCGGCUAACUUCGUG